rnacentral:lncRNA from 1 species
GAGGACAAGAAGAAUUCCUUGAUCAACAGAGCCACCACUAAAAAUACCUUUAACCUAGUUACAUAUCGCCUCUCCUAUAUUAUCCCAUUUAUUCUUAAAGAAAUAGGCAUGGAAACCAUCACUACCUAGAGCUCUUAAAGGAGACAUGUCAAACAGAGCUUUCUUAAUUUCCUUAUUUGAUAUUGCACUCCCUAAAAAUUCC